rnacentral:rRNA from 1 species
GAUGAACGCUAGCUACAGGCUUAACACAUGCAAGUCGCGGGGCAGCAUGGGGGUUGCUUGCAAUCCCCGAUGGCGACCGGCGCACGGGUGAGUAACGCGUAUCCAACCUGCCCUUCACCACGGGAUAACCCGGCGAAAGUCGGACUAAUACCGUAUGUUGUCCAUUGACGGCAUCCGAUUUGGACGAAAGGUUUGGCGGUGAAGGCUGGGGAUGCGUCCGAUUAGCUGGACGGCGGGGUGACGGCCCACCGUGGCGACGAUCGGUAGGGGUUCUGAGAGGAAGGUCCCCCACACGGGAACUGAGACACGGUCCAGACUCCUACGGGAGGCAGCAGUGAGGAAUAUUGGUCAAUGGGCGUAAGCCUGAACCAGCCAAGUAGCGUGCAGGAUGACGGCCCUAUGGGUUGUAAACUGCUUUUAUGCGGGGAUAAAGUGGCCCACGUGUGGGUUUUUGCAGGUACCGCAUGAAUAAGGACCGGCUAAUUCCGUG